rnacentral:rRNA from 1 species
GAUAAACGCUGGCGGCGUGCUUAACACAUGCAAGUCGAACGAAGUUUUUCCUUCGGGUGAAACUUUGUGGCGGACGGGUGUGUAACGCGUGUGUAACCUGCCCUGUACAUGGGGACAACCGCUGGAAACGGCUGCUAAUACCGCAUAAGCACUUAGCACUGCAUGUUGCAUAGCUACAAGGAGCAAUCCGGUACAGGAUGGACCCGCGUCUUAUUAGCCAGUUGGCAGGGUAACGGCCUACCAAAGCGACGAUCAGUAGCCGAUCUGAGAGGAUGUACGGACACAUUGGGACUGAGACACGGCCCAGAAUACUACGGGAGGCAGCAGUGGGGAAUAUUGCAAAAUGGAGGAAACUCUGAGGCAGCGACGCCGCGUGAGUGAAGAAGUAUGUCGGUAUGUAAAGCUAGAUCAGCAGGGAAGAAAAUGACGGUACCUGACUAAGAAGCACCGGCUAAAUACGUG